rnacentral:rRNA from 1 species
AGAGUUUGAUCCUGGCUCAGAGUGAACGCUGGCGGCGUGCUUAACACAUGCAAGUCGAACGAGAACGGAUUAUAGCUUGCUAUAAUUGUCAGCUAAGUGGCGCACGGGUGAGUAAUAUAUAGAUAACCUGCCCUCUAGAAAGGAAUAACAGUUGGAAACGACUGCUAAUGCCCUAUAUGCCUUUAAUACAUAAGUAUGCAAGGGAAACGCUUUAGUGCUAGAGGAUGGGUCUGUAUGGUAUCAGCUUGUUGGUGAGGUAAUGGCUCACCAAGGCUAUGACGCCUAACUGGUUUGAGAGGAUGAUCAGUCACACUGGAACUGAGACACGGUCCAGACUCCUACGGGAGGCAGCAGUGGGGAAUAUUGCACAAUGGACGAAAGUCUGAUGCAGCAACGCCGCGUGGAGGAUGACACAUUUCGGUGCGUAAACUCCUUUUAUAUAGGAAGAUAAUGACGGUACUAUAUGAAUAAGCACCGGCUAACUCCGUGCCAGCAGCCGCG